CGGCCAACAAAGAGAGGCAAAACCGCGAGGUGGAGCAAAUCUCAAAAAGCCGUCCCAGUUCGGAUCGCAGGCUGCAACCCGCCUGCGUGAAGUUGGAAUCGCUAGUAAUCGCGGAUCAGCAUGCCGCGGUGAAUACGUUCCCGGGCCUUGUACACACCGCCCGUCACACCAUGAGAGUCGGGAACACCCGAAGUCCGUAGCCUAACCGCAAGGGGGGCGCGGCCGAAGGUGGGUUCGAUAAUUGGGGUGAAGUCGUAACAAGGUAUC
rnacentral:rRNA from 1 species